UCCCUGGUGGUCCAGUAGUUAGGGCUCAGUGAUUUCACCACUGUGGCCCAGGUUCAAUCCCUGGUCUGGGAA
rnacentral:tRNA from 1 species